CAGUAGCCGCGGUAAUACAGAGGGUGCGAGCGUUAUCCGGAUUUAUUGGGUUUAAAGGGUCCGUAGGCGGAUCUGUAAGUCAGUGGUGAAAUCUCACAGCUUAACUGUGAAACUGCCAUUGAUACUGCAGGUCUUGAGUAAAUUUGAAGUGGCUGGAAUAAGUAGUGUAGCGGUGAAAUGCAUAGAUAUUACUUAGAACACCAAUUGCGAAGGCAGGUCACUAAGAUUUAACUGACGCUGAUGGACGAAAGCGUGGGGAGCGAACAGGAUUAGAUACCCGAGUAGUCCCUGUCUCUUAUAU
rnacentral:rRNA from 1 species